rnacentral:rRNA from 1 species
ACGAACGCUGGCGGCGUGCUUAACACAUGCAAGUCGAACGGAAAGGCCCCUUUGGGGGUACUCGAGUGGCGAACGGGUGAGUAACACGUGAGUAACCUGCCCUUGACUUCGGGAUAACUUCAGGAAACUGGGGCUAAUACCGGAUAGGAAUCCUUGCUGCAUGGUGGGGGUUGGAAAGCUUCGGCGGUUUUGGAUGGACUCGCGGCUUAUCAGCUUGUUGGUGGGGUAGUGGCUUACCAAGGCUUUGACGGGUAGCCGGCCUGAGAGGGCGACCGGCCACAGUGGGACUGAGAUACGGCCCAGACUCCUACGGGAGGCAGCAGGGGGGAAUAUUGCACAAGGGGCGGAAGCCUGAUGCAGCAACGCCGCGUGCGGGAGGACGGCCUUCGGGUUGUAAACCGCUUUCAGCAGGGGCGAAGCUUGUGGUGACGGUACCUGCAGAAGAAGCACCGGCUAACUACGUG